rnacentral:rRNA from 1 species
GACAGAGGCCUCAAGCGUUAGGCGGAAUCACUGGGCUUAAAGCGUGUGUAGGCGGAUCGUUAAGUGUCUUGUGAAAUCCCACGGCUCACCCGUGGAACUGCUGGGCAUACUGGCGAUCUUGGGCCAACUAGGGGCAACUGGAACAAGCGGUGGAGCGGUGAAAUGCGUAGAUAAUCGCUUGGAACGCCAAAGGGUGAAAACAGGUUGCUGGG